UUGUUUUGCUCAUUGACCAGCUGUUACAUUCAAUUGAUCCUAAGAAAGGUUGGAUGCGUACACGGAUACUGGCUUUCAAGAAGACAUUGCCGUGCUGCCUCAGAUGUGAGGAGGGAUGUUCUCAGCACUCUGUAUGCCGUAGGAAGCAGGCAACCACUGCAAGUUCAUUAGAUGCCCCUAAUUGCUAAGAACACAUUCAGGAAGUAUGAUAAAGGAAUUUAAAAAAAAAGAAAAAUCAGUGAAGAAGCUGGAUCCCCAAAACAAAGAAUUCGGGUAGUAGGGCCUGGAGUUUCCAGAAACUCUUCCAAAGAGAAUCAGCAGUGGUGGAGGAGUCAAGAGGUGCCUUUGCCAGAGGGCCAAGAGGAAGAAGCCCGCUCAUUGCACUCUACCUUCAGCCC